AGAGUUUGAUCCUGGCUCAGAUUGAACGCUGGCGGCAUGCCUUACACAUGCAAGUCGAACGGCAGCACGGGAGCAAUCCUGGUGGCGAGUGGCGAACGGGUGAGUAAUGUAUCGGAACGUGCCCAGUCGUGGGGGAUAACGCAGCGAAAGCUGUGCUAAUACCGCAUACGAUCUAUGGAUGAAAGCGGGGGAUCGCAAGACCUCGCGCGAUUGGAGCGGCCGAUAUCAGAUUAGGUAGUUGGUGGGGUAAAGGCCCACCAAGCCGACGAUCUGUAGCUGGUCUGAGAGGACGACCAGCCACACUGGAACUGAGACACGGUCCAGACUCCUACGGGAGGCAGCAGUGGGGAAUUUUGGACAAUGGGCGCAAGCCUGAUCCAGCAAUGCCGCGUGCAGGAUGAAGGCCUUCGGGUUGUAAACUGCUUUUGUACGGAACGAAACGGCUCUUUCUAAUACAAGGGGCUAAUGACGGUACCGUAAGAAUAAGCACCGGCUAACUACGUGCCAGCAGCCGCGGUAAUACA
rnacentral:rRNA from 1 species